UACCUAUGCAUCUUCCUACGCCACAUGCUAGGCUACCUUUUAAUUAAUUAAAGAUCCCGUAGGUGUAAUCGAAAUGGCAACAGCGAAAGCUUCGAGGGCGAAGAAGACCGAUAACCCACCCGCUGAUACUACUAGACAACUAACGUCAACCCAAUUCUUGCGCACAUGGCGUCACUACGACACGGACGGGAACGGAUACAUUGAGAAUGAUGAGCUAGAUGCAUUUCUGAAGGAAAUGUUGUCUGAUCAUUGUGGUCAGGAGAUUGAUGAGUCCUUAUUGGCUGCUAGCAAAGCAAAGUUUCUUGCGAAAUAUGAUCAGAAUUAUGACGGUCGAAUUUCAUUGGAAGAGCUGGCUGUGAUCCUUCCAACAGAAGAGAGUUUCUUACUAAGAUUUCGAGGCAAAAUAAACCUCUCUAGUGUCGACUUUAUGCAGAUAUGGCGUCAAUAUGAUGAAGAUAGGAGCGGUUUUAUCGAGGCAGAUGAAUUGAAGGGAUUUAUUCGAGAUUUAAUGCUAACCAAUAAGGAAGACAUCUCCCCCCAGAUUAUUGAUGACUAUGAGCAAACAAUGUUGGAACUGUUUGAUGUAAAUCAUGAUGGAUGUUUGGAUUUAAAUGAACUAGCUAAAGUCUUGCCAGUGGAGGAGAACUACAUCUUGAAGUUGAAGGGUAAGAAACAACUGACUCGCAACGAAAUGACAGAGUUCUUCCAGCACUAUGACCAGGACAAUAAUGGUAAAAUAUCUGGAGCAGAACUGAUGGCUCUUUUGAGGGACAUGCUACAGGCAGAGGGCAAGGAACCUAACUUUCAAGAAAUUAAGGAGUUCCAUCAGGCUAUUCUUAGUCUCUGUGAUGUGAAUCAUGACGGGAUGAUAGAUGAAGCAGAACUCACCCUGUUACUGUCUCCUUCAGCUAAAAAGUGACCUACAAGUGUGAAGGUGACGCAUUAACUAUGGAUGUGACUACUAGUAGACAACAGUAUUUGAACAUCUAUUUUAGCAAGUAUAGAUAUUACAAGAUCGUUUAGAAAAAUAGACACGUGUCAAUUAAACUCAGGAGUAGAUAGCUAGGAGAGAAGAAAGAUGUGUGGGAGGAACUUCAGACGGAGGAACAGGGAAGAGGAGAAAGAGCUAGGGUUUAUGUUUAUGACAUACUUUUGUAGUCACUAUAUUUUUGACCCUAGUUUUGGAACUAGAAGCUCUUGAUCAUUUGUCAUGAAACUUUCUUAAAAUUCCAGCUAGACUUACAACAAUUCAAAAAUCACAU